CCGACAGCCGCACGAGGAGGGACCGGCCCCGUCGGCAGCUUCGGGCGCAGCCGCCUUCAAACUUUCAGCCCGCACCCGGCGGAGCCGCGCUCGACAUCGAUGGUGGAGGCGAUUGUGGAGUUCGACUACAAAGCUCAACAUGAUGAUGAGCUGACAAUCACUGUAGGUGACAUAAUCACCAAUAUCAAGAAAGAUGAUGGAGGCUGGUGGGAAGGACAGCUCAAAGGCAGAAGAGGUUUGUUCCCUGACAACUUUGUAAGAGAAAUAAAGAAGGACAUGAAGAAGGAAAAUAUUGCCAACAAACCACCAGAGAAACCUAUAAAUGAAAUUUGCAAUGGAAGCUCUUUACUGUUGUCUGAGACAAUUAUUAGAACCAACAGAAAAGGAGAGAGGAACAGACGAAGAAGAUGUCAGGUGGCUUUCAGUUAUUUGCCUCAAAAUGAGGAUGAACUGGAAUUAAAAGUUGGUGACAUCAUUGAAGUUGUGGGAGAGGUAGAAGAAGGCUGGUGGGAAGGUAUCCUUAAUGGAAAGACGGGCAUGUUUCCUUCCAACUUCAUAAAGGAACUGUCUGAUUCUGAUGAUGCUGGAAUAUCACAGGAAGAGCAAGUAAAGCCAAGAAAGUCUGCCUUUGAAGGGACAAUUCUGUACAGAGUGGCACCGGCAAAGAUUGACAGCUACAGACGCUAUAACAGUCUGAAAGAUACUACAGGCUCUGAGAGUGAUGGUGGUGACUCUGGCAGCACAAAAUCAGAAGGAGCCAAUGGAGGCACGACAAUCCAACCCAAAAAGGUCAAGGGUGUUGGCUUUGGAGAUAUCUUCAAAGACAAACCUAUAAAGCUACGGCCAAGGUCAAUAGAAGUUGAAACGGACUUUCUCCCAGUAGAUAAGAGUGUUGGGAAGAAAGUACCUCCAGCCACAGCAAGUCAGGAGCCAACAAAAACAGAAGUGGACAGCAGAACAAAAACCAAGGAGUAUUGCAAAGUGAUAUUUCCAUAUGAAGCACAGAAUGAUGAUGAACUCACAAUCCGAGAAGGUGAUGUCGUCACACUUAUCAGUAAGGACUGUAUUGAUGUGGGUUGGUGGGAAGGAGAACUGAAUGGCCGACGAGGAGUGUUUCCAGAUAACUUUGUCAAGCUUCUUCCUUCCGAUUUUGAAAAAGAGAGACCGAAGAAACCACCACCUCCAUCAGCUCCUGUUGUCAAGCAAGGAUUAGGUACCACAGAUCGAAAACAAGAAGUCAAAAAGGUGCCUCCUGAAAGGCCAGAGUGUCUCCCUAAUCGGACAGAAGAAAAAGAAAGAUCAGAGAGAGAGCAAAAACAGUUGGACUUGCAGAAGCCUUCAGUUCCUGCAAUACCUCCGAAGAAACCACGGCCACCCAAAGCAAACCCUGUGAACAGACCUGGUACCUUGCCUCCAAGAAGGCCAGAAAGACCAGUUGUGCCUGCGACUCAUGCAAGGAGUGAUAGUCCAAAAGUGGAAUUAGUGGGGAGUUCGGUGUCCAGCACACUGGAGAAAGACUCCUCCGAAAGAAGCAAUGACAUCGACUUGGAAGGUUUUGACUCUGUAGUACCAAUUGCUGAGAAGCUUAAUCAUCCAACUACAACCAGACCAAAAGCUACUGGCAGGCGACCGCCCUCCCAGUCUUUCACAUCUUCAUCCCUUUCAAGCCCAGAUUUCUUUGACUCGCCAAGUCCUGAAGAAGAGAAAGAAGAUCAUGUUUCCAUUACACACAAAACUGUUGAAGUGUCAAAGAAAUCAAGAACUGUUACAAUAUCACAAGUAUUUGAUAAUAAAACUUCGUUGCCUCCAAAACCAGGCGGUUUGGCUAGUGGCGGUAAUGUACAACCAUCUCUAUCCCCUUCACCAUCACCUGGAUUUCAUUCAAUUGCUAUGGGAACAACAGGCCACAGGUCAAAUUCCCCAUCCCUACUUGGUGCAGAAGGAAAGCCAAAGACUGAACACUUGAGCCAAGGUCAGACUGCUCUGGAGGAGCUGAGAACACAAGUUAAGGAGCUAAGAACUAUCAUUGAAGCGAUGAAAGACCAGCAAAAGUAAAAAAGAGAUUAAACAGUUGCUGUCUGAAUUGGAUGAAGAAAAGAAGAUCCGUCUACGAUUGCAGAUGGAAGUUAAUGACAUAAAGAAAGCUCUUCAAUCAAAGUGAAUACUUGAUAGAUGGAAUGUUGCAUUAUUCUACAUGACUGAGACUCAAAUUUAUGCCCCAGCCAAAAUAACUUUGUGCCAAAUGAUUUAAGAAUUGCCUCAGCAUCCCUUUAUCAAAGGAUUAGCACAACCGUUUUUGAUAGCACAACAAAAACACCAACAGUGAGGAAAAAUCUUCCACGUGAAGCGGUGCCGCGUGGCACCGGUUGUGACUGAAAUGGAUCUUCUUGUGCUAAAGGCUCUCUACUUCAAGAUCAUAGGUGAAAUGAAAACUCAGGCAGUUUAGUCCAUAGUGGUACUAUUUUGAUGAUAUUUUUCCAUAAAUAAAGUGUAUUUCAGAUUAUCUGUUUACAAGCUUUAUGAUUUUGAUUUUUGUUUUUUAAUUGUCUUUUGUCACAGAUUUUAAAAUGUUUGUACUGCAUAUAGCCAGGAAUGAAUGUUAACGUUGGGGCUGGAGGGAUUAUUUUUGCUUCGAGAUAGAACAGCCUACUUCUUGUUACGGUUUUAAGUUGUUAAAUAUGCAAUUUCAUGUCCCCCUACUCCCUCCAAUGAAACAUAACAUUGUGUACAGUAAUGUAUUUAGGAGAAGAAAACCAACAGAAUAAGAAUCUGGUCUUUGCAAUGAUUUGUGCCUUUCUUUGCCACACACCGACGGGAGCUGGUUGCAGGUCAGGUCUCCGUCACGUAGCUACCCCCAUCUCCCGUCACCGGUGUCCGGUAGAGGUCACACUCGCCGGGUCCAGCUGGCUGCUGCACACAGCCGGGUCCCUGCCAAGAGGCGGGACAGUGGCACAGUUGAGAGCAUCUCUGUCUUCAUCAGCUGUGGCUUUUUAGCUUUCCCAUUUUCAGUAGCCUCUCCUUUGGUUUUGAAUGUUUAUCUCCGCUUGGUUUCCAGUAGAUGAUUUCAGCGCCAGCCUCCGUCCCCAAUUUUGCACAGAGUGAACAGAAUAUGCAUUAUUAAAGCAAAAAUAAAUAAAAGUAAACUAUAAAACAUGAAUAAAAAGUUGUAUUAUUUCCUGCA